CACACCGCCCGUCACAUCACGAAAGCCAGUUGUACUAGAAGCCGGCAAUUCAACCGCAAGGAGAUAGCCGUCCAAGGUAUGACUGGUGGUUGGGGUG
rnacentral:rRNA from 1 species